rnacentral:rRNA from 1 species
AGUUAAAAGUAAUUUAUUUUUAAUUUUUUCUGCCCAGUGUGUUAAAAAUAAAUGGCCGCAGUACUUUGACUGUGCUAAGGUAGCAUAAUCAAUUGGCUUUUAAUUGGAGUCUGGAAUGAAAGGAAGUAUGAAGUUAUACUGUUUCAAUUUUAUUAUAUAAAAUUUAUUUAAAAAGUGAAAAUACUUUUUUACAAAAAAAAGACGAGAAGACCCUAUGAAUUUUUGAAAUAAUAUAAUAUUUAUAUAUUUUCUUUUGUUGGGGCGACAAAUUAGCAUUAUAACCUAAUUAUAAAUAAUUAUAUCGAUUAUUUUAGUAAAAAUUAAAUUACCUUAGGGAUAACAGCAUAAUUUUUUUAAGUUUGUGACCUCGAUGUUGGACUAGGAACUUUAUUACUAGCAGUAAAAAAAGAAUGUUCUGUUCGAACAAUAAUUUCCU